AUACCAAGAGCCCGAUAGGUUAUUUCCUUUCCUGUACUUCUCACGAAAAGAAGAAUUCCCUAUUGACUCUAAUCAAUCACGACGCGGUUGCUCUCAAACUGAAGCUCUAAUAAAACAAAUGGACUGCUAGAGAGGGAGAUUUCAAACAACGCAGCACUCUUUUGCUCAUUGUGCAAGAAAUCGUGAGAGGGCCUCUACUUCUCCUUCUCCUCUCUCUGCUGUCACUGAAAAACUGAGGAGCAUCAUUCGACUCUCAUCAGAAACUCGAUAGAGCAGCGUCGUCUCCAGAUUCUAAAAGGUUCGCAGCGGAGACGUAGACUAGAGCAGCGCAGAGGUUAAUUGGUCAAGAUCCAUCAUUGUAGUUGGUUAUAAUUCUGUACUGCUGUGCAUAUCCCACCUCUCCAACAUGAGUUGAUAUCCUACUCUUGACAAGAUUUAAAUUUCCAAUCCUAGAUUAAUAUGAAUCACCAAACACCAGCUUAGAUAUUUUUCUUGUCCUAUCUGGUUACUAAUGCGGGCACACAAACGCAGCCUAUGUAUCUUGUGCAUCUGAUAAACGUAAAUUGGCAUUGUGAU